rnacentral:rRNA from 1 species
CCUACGGGUGGCAGCAGUGGGGAAUAUUGGACAAUGGGCGAAAGCCUGAUCCAGCCAUGCCGCGUGUGUGAAGAAGGCCUUCGGGUUGUAAAGCACUUUCAGUGGGGAAGAAAGCCUUGGGGCUAAUACCCUCGAGGAAGGACAUCACCCACAGAAGAAGCACCGGCUAACUCCGUGCCAGCAGCCGCGGUAAUACGGAGGGUGCGAGCGUUAAUCGGAAUUACUGGGCGUAAAGCGCGCGUAGGCGGUCUGAUAAGCCGGUUGUGAAAGCCCCGGGCUCAACCUGGGAACGGCAUCCGGACCUGUCAGGCUAGAGUGCAGGAGAGGAAGGUAGAAUUCCCGGUGUAGCGGUGAAAUGCGUAGAGAUCGGGAGGAAUACCAGUGGCGAAGGCGGCCUUCUGGACUGACACUGACGCUGAGGUGCGAAAGCGUGGGUAGCAAACAGGAUUAGAUACCCCAGUAGUC